AUGAGGGCGACGGCCCGCCCCGAGUCCGGCCGUCCAGACGCAACUCCGGUCACCGCCAUCAAGAGAGAUGCAGAGAGAAGAAAGAGAUGGCACGGGAGGGAGAGAUUAGUUCAGGUCCUCACCUUGAGAGAAGAUGAUCGGCAUGAUGACGACCUUCUCGCCGGUGCACACGCUCCUCGGUACGUUGUCUGCUGGAUCCUCCCGGUUGCCCGCCCGGCAAGGCAGCCGAGCUCUUCUCCUGAAGCCUGGAUGUAUUGUGGUUUUAAUGGAUGGAUGGCGUCUGGACCAAGGCCGGCCUCUCCUUCCAUGCGUGCGUGA
rnacentral:rRNA from 1 species